rnacentral:rRNA from 1 species
AGUGAACGCUGGCGGUAGGCCUAACACAUGCAAGUCGAACGGCAGCACAGGAGAGCUUGCUCUCUGGGUGGCGAGUGGCGGACGGGUGAGGAAUACAUCGGAAUCUACCUUUUCGUGGGGGAUAACGUAGGGAAACUUACGCUAAUACCGCAUACGACCUACGGGUGAAAGUGGGGGACCGCAAGGCCUCACGCGAUUAGAUGAGCCGAUGUCCGAUUAGCUAGUUGGCGGGGUAAUGGCCCACCAAGGCGACGAUCGGUAGCUGGUCUGAGAGGAUGAUCAGCCACACUGGAACUGAGACACGGUCCAGACUCCUACGGGAGGCAGCAGUGGGGAAUAUUGGACAAUGGGCGCAAGCCUGAUCCAGCCAUACCGCGUGGGUGAAGAAGGCCUUCGGUUGUAAGACCUUUCGUUGGUAAAGGAAAGUACCUGUCGA